GUGCUUGUUUGGCAUCACAUAUACUAAAAUCAGAAUGAUACAGAGAAGAUUAGCAUGGCCCCUGCACAAGGAUGACAUGCAAAUUCAUGAAGUAAAGGCCAAUGGU